rnacentral:rRNA from 1 species
CGCUUAACACACGCACGUCGAACGGUAGCAGGCUCUUCGGAGCGCUGACGAGUGGCGGACGGGUGAGUAAUGCGUAGGAAUCUGCCUCGUUGAGUGGGAUAGCCUAGGGAAACUUAGGGUAAUACCGCAUAAGCCCUAUGGGGGAAAUGCAGGGGACCGCAAGGCCUUGCGCAAUGAGAUGAGCCUACGUCGGAUUAGCUAGUUGGUAGGGUAAAAGCCUACCAAGGCAAUGAUCCGUAGCUGGUCUGAGAGGACGACCAGCCACACUGGGACUGAGACACGGCCCAGACUCCUACGGGAGGCAGCAGUGGGGAAUAUUGGACAAUGGGCGCAAGCCUGAUCCAGCGAUGCCGCGUGUGUGAAGAAGGCCUGCGGGUUGUAAAGCAC